rnacentral:misc_RNA from 1 species
GAUGAAGAACGCAGCGAAAUGCGAUAAGUAAUGUGAAUUGCAGAAUUCAGUGAAUCAUCGAAUCUUUGAACGCACAUUGCGCCCGCCAGUAUUCUGGCGGGCAUGCCUGUUCGAGCAUCAUUUCAACCAUCAAGCCCCCGGCUUGUGUUGGGGACCUGCGGCUGCCGCAGGCCCUGAAAUGCAGUGGCGGGCUCGCUGUCACUCCGAGCGUAGUAGUUACAUCUCGCUCUGGGCGUGCUGCGGGUUCCGGCCGUUAAAAGCCUUAUUUACCCAAGGUUGACCUCGGAUCAGGUAGGAAGACCCGCUGAACUUAAGCAUAUCAAUAAGCGGAGGA